UAAGGAAUAUUGGACAAUGCCCGCAAGGGUGAUCCAGCCAUGCCGCGUGCAGGAAGACGGCCCUAUGGGUUGUAAACUGCUUUUACACCGGAGAAAACCUCCCCUCGUGAGGGGAGCUGAUAGUAUGGUGAGAAUAAGCAUCGGCUAACUUCGUGCCAGCAGCCGCGGUAAGACGAAGGAUGCAAGCGUUAUCCGGAUUCAUUGGGUUUAAAGGGUGCGUAGGCGGCCUUGUAAGUCAGUGGUGAAAUCCUGUUGCUCAACAACAGAACUGCCAUUGAUACUGCUAGGCUUGAGUACAGAUGCUGUGGGCGGAAUAUGACAUGUAGUGGUGAAAUACAUAGAGAUGUCAUAGAACACCGAUUGCGAAGGCAGCUCACAAAACUGUAACUGACGCUGAGGCACGAAAGUGCGGGGAUCAAACAGG
rnacentral:rRNA from 1 species